GAGCCGGGCUGGUAAAAGAUAUUAUAUUUACCCAAAGAACUUUGUUUGCCUAUGUCCUUAGACUGACACAGCUACAACCGACACUCCCAACAGGACUGUAAAACUUCAGUACAGGCAAGAGAAAUAUGGACCAAUGACAUAGAGAAGAGGAAUUAUAAUGGAAUAUAAAAUAAAAAUAAAAUAAUGACAUGCUAUAGGGCCUCUUUUAUUUAUGCAGCCACAUAAGAGGGUACACAAUGAAAUUUUAAAAGGCAACAACUCUGGUCUCUGUAACCUAGAGAAAAAAUUCCUAGCAAAGACCAAGGGCUAGAAAUUAAAGUGAGAUGAAAUCAUAUCUGAGACAAAAGCACAGAUUUUUAACAGGGUGA